rnacentral:rRNA from 1 species
CUGCGAUGCGGCAGCCUACCAUGCAGUCGAGCGCACCUUCGGGUGAGCGGCGGACGGGUGAGUAACGCGUGGGAACGUACCCUUCUCUGCGGAAUAGCCACUGGAAACGGUGAGUAAUACCGCAUACGCCCUUCGGGGGAAAGAUUUAUCGGAGAAGGAUCGGCCCGCGUUGGAUUAGGUAGUUGGUGGGGUAAUGGCCUACCAAGCCUACGAUCCAUAGCUGGUUUGAGAGGAUGAUCAGCCACACUGGGACUGAGACACGGCCCAGACUCCUACGGGAGGCAGCAGUGGGGAAUCUUAGACAAUGGGCGCAAGCCUGAUCUAGCCAUGCCGCGUGAGUGAAGAAGGCCUUAGGGUCGUAAAGCUCUUUCGCUGGGGAAGAUAAUGACUGUACCCAGUAAAGAAACCCCGGCUAACUCCGUGCCAGCAGCCGCGGUAAUACGGAGGGGGUUAGCGUUGUUCGGAAUUACUGGGCGUAAAGCGCGCGUAGGCGGAUCAGAAAGUUGGGGGUGAAAUCCCGGGGCUCAACCUCGGAACUGCCUCCAAAACUCCUGGUCUUGAGUUCGAGAGAGGUGAGUGGAAUUCCGAGUGUAGAGGUGAAAUUCGUAGAUAUUCGGAGGAACACCAGUGGCGAAGGCGGCUCACUGGCUCGAUACUGACGCUGAGGUGCGAAAGUGUGGGGAGCAAACAGGAUUAGAUACCCUGGUAGUCA